AACGCGAAGAACCUUACCUGGCCUUGACAUCUGUCGAAUCCUGCAGAGAUGCGGGAGUGCCUUCGGGAACGAUAAGACAGGUGCUGCAUGGCUGUCGUCAGCUCGUGUCGUGAGAUGUUGGGUUAAGUCCCGCAACGAGCGCAACCCUUGCCCUUAGUUGCCAUCAUUAAGUUGGGAACUCUAAGGGGACCGCCGGUGACAAACCGGAGGAAGGUGGGGAUGACGUCAAGUCAUCAUGGCCUUUAUGGCCAGGGCUACACACGUGCUACAAUGGUCGGUACAAAGGGUUGCCAACCCGCGAGGGGGAGCCAAUCUCAGAAAGCCGAUCGUAGUCCGGAUUGCAGUCUGCAACUCGACUGCAUGAAGUCGGAAUCGCUAGUAAUCGUGAAUCAGCGAUGUCACGGUGAAUACGUUCCCGGGUCUGUACACACCG
rnacentral:rRNA from 1 species